UUAAGCGACUAAGCGUACACGGUGGAUGCCCUGGCAGUCAGAGGCGAUGAAGGACGUGCUAAUCUGCGAUAAGCGUCGGUAAGGUGAUAUGAACCGUUAUAACCGGCGAUUUCCGAAUGGGGAAACCCAGUGUGUUUCGACACACUAUCAUUAACUGAAUCCAUAGGUUAAUGAGGCGAACCGGGGGAACUGAAACAUCUAAGUACCCCGAGGAAAAGAAAUCAACCGAGAUUCCCCCAGUAGCGGCGAGCGAACGGGGAGCAGCCCAGAGCCUGAAUCAGUGUGUGUGUUAGUGGAAGCGUCUGGAAAGGCGCGCGAUACAGGGUGACAGCCCCGUACACAAAAAUGCACAUGCUGUGAGCUCGAUGAGUAGGGCGGGACACGUGGUAUCCUGUCUGAAUAUGGGGGGACCAUCCUCCAAGGCUAAAUACUCCUGACUGACCGAUAGUGAACCAGUACCGUGAGGGAAAGGCGAAAAGAACCCCGGCGAGGGGAGUGAAAAAGAACCUGAAACCGUGUACGUACAAGCAGUGGGAGCACGCUUAGGCGUGUGACUGCGUACCUUUUGUAUAAUGGGUCAGCGACUUAUAUUCUGUAGCAAGGUUAACCGAAUAGGGGAGCCGAAGGGAAACCGAGUCUUAACUGGGCGUUAAGUUGCAGGGUAUAGACCCGAAACCCGGUGAUCUAGCCAUGGGCAGGUUGAAGGUUGGGUAACACUAACUGGAGGACCGAACCGACUAAUGUUGAAAAAUUAGCGGAUGACUUGUGGCUGGGGGUGAAAGGCCAAUCAAACCGGGAGAUAGCUGGUUCUCCCCGAAAGCUAUUUAGGUAGCGCCUCGUGAAUUCAUCUCCGGGGGUAGAGCACUGUUUCGGCAAGGGGGUCAUCCCGACUUACCAACCCGAUGCAAACUGCGAAUACCGGAGAAUGUUAUCACGGGAGACACACGGCGGGUGCUAACGUCCGUCGUGAAGAGGGAAACAACCCAGACCGCCAGCUAAGGUCCCAAAGUCAUGGUUAAGUGGGAAACGAUGUGGGAAGGCCCAGACAGCCAGGAUGUUGGCUUAGAAGCAGCCAUCAUUUAAAGAAAGCGUAAUAGCUCACUGGUCGAGUCGGCCUGCGCGGAAGAUGUAACGGGGCUAAACCAUGCACCGAAGCUGCGGCAGCGACGCUGAUGCGUUGUUGGGUAGGGGAGCGUUCUGUAAGCCUGUGAAGGUGUGCUGUGAGGCAUGCUGGAGGUAUCAGAAGUGCGAAUGCUGACAUAAGUAACGAUAAAGCGGGUGAAAAGCCCGCUCGCCGGAAGACCAAGGGUUCCUGUCCAACGUUAAUCGGGGCAGGGUGAGUCGACCCCUAAGGCGAGGCCGAAAGGCGUAGUCGAUGGGAAACAGGUUAAUAUUCCUGUACUUGGUGUUACUGCGAAGGGGGGACGGAGAAGGCUAUGUUGGCCGGGCGACGGUUGUCCCGGUUUAAGCGUGUAGGCUGGUUUUCCAGGCAAAUCCGGAAAAUCAAGGCUGAGGCGUGAUGACGAGGCACUACGGUGCUGAAGCAACAAAUGCCCUGCUUCCAGGAAAAGCCUCUAAGCAUCAGGUAACAUCAAAUCGUACCCCAAACCGACACAGGUGGUCAGGUAGAGAAUACCAAGGCGCUUGAGAGAACUCGGGUGAAGGAACUAGGCAAAAUGGUGCCGUAACUUCGGGAGAAGGCACGCUGAUAUGUAGGUGAAGUCCCUUGCGGAUGGAGCUGAAAUCAGUCGAAGAUACCAGCUGGCUGCAACUGUUUAUUAAAAACACAGCACUGUGCAAACACGAAAGUGGACGUAUACGGUGUGACGCCUGCCCGGUGCCGGAAGGUUAAUUGAUGGGGUCAGCGCAAGCGAAGCUCUUGAUCGAAGCCCCGGUAAACGGCGGCCGUAACUAUAACGGUCCUAAGGUAGCGAAAUUCCUUGUCGGGUAAGUUCCGACCUGCACGAAUGGCGUAAUGAUGGCCAGGCUGUCUCCACCCGAGACUCAGUGAAAUUGAACUCGCUGUGAAGAUGCAGUGUACCCGCGGCAAGACGGAAAGACCCCGUGAACCUUUACUAUAGCUUGACACUGAACAUUGAGCCUUGAUGUGUAGGAUAGGUGGGAGGCUUAGAAGUGUGGACGCCAGUCUGCAUGGAGCCGACCUUGAAAUACCACCCUUUAAUGUUUGAUGUUCUAACGUUGACCCGUAAUCCGGGUUGCGGACAGUGUCUGGUGGGUAGUUUGACUGGGGCGGUCUCCUCCUAAAGAGUAACGGAGGAGCACGAAGGUUGGCUAAUCCUGGUCGGACAUCAGGAGGUUAGUGCAAUGGCAUAAGCCAGCUUGACUGCGAGCGUGACGGCGCGAGCAGGUGCGAAAGCAGGUCAUAGUGAUCCGGUGGUUCUGAAUGGAAGGGCCAUCGCUCAACGGAUAAAAGGUACUCCGGGGAUAACAGGCUGAUACCGCCCAAGAGUUCAUAUCGACGGCGGUGUUUGGCACCUCGAUGUCGGCUCAUCACAUCCUGGGGCUGAAGUAGGUCCCAAGGGUAUGGCUGUUCGCCAUUUAAAGUGGUACGCGAGCUGGGUUUAGAACGUCGUGAGACAGUUCGGUCCCUAUCUGCCGUGGGCGCUGGAGAACUGAGGGGGGCUGCUCCUAGUACGAGAGGACCGGAGUGGACGCAUCACUGGUGUUCGGGUUGUCAUGCCAAUGGCACUGCCCGGUAGCUAAAUGCGGAAGAGAUAAGUGCUGAAAGCAUCUAAGCACGAAACUUGCCCCGAGAUGAGUUCUCCCUGACUCCUUGAGAGUCCUGAAGGAACGUUGAAGACGACGACGUUGAUAGGCCGGGUGUGUAAGCGCAGCGAUGCGUUGAGCUAACCGGUACUAAUGAACCGUGAGGCUUAACCUU
rnacentral:rRNA from 1 species